UACGUAGGGUGCAAGCGUUGUCCGGAAUUAUUGGGCGUAAAGAGCUCGUAGGCGGUUCGUCGCGUCGGCUGUGAAAUCCCGAGGCUCAACCUCGGGUCUGCAGUCGAUACGGGCGGACUGGAGUACUGCAGGGGAGACUGGAAUUCCUGGUGUAGCGGUGAAAUGCGCAGAUAUCAGAAGGAACACCGGUGGCGAAGGCGGGUCUCUGGGCAGUUACUGACGCUGAGGAGCGAAAGCGUGGGGAGCGAACAGG
rnacentral:rRNA from 1 species